UGGCGGCGUGCUUAACACAUGCAAGUCGAACGGAAAGGCCCUGCUUUUGUGGGGUGCUCGAGUGGCGAACGGGUGAGUAACACGUGAGUAACCUGCCCUUGACUUUGGGAUAACUUCAGGAAACUGGGGCUAAUACCGGAUAGGAGCUCCUGCUGCAUGGUGGGGGUUGGAAAGUUUCGGCGGUUGGGGAUGGACUCGCGGCUUAUCAGCUUGUUGGUGGGGUAGUGGCUUACCAAGGCUUUGACGGGUAGCCGGCCUGAGAGGGUGACCGGCCACAUUGGGACUGAGAUACGGCCCAGACUCCUACGGGAGGCAGCAGUGGGGAAUAUUGCACAAUGGGCGGAAGCCUGAUGCAGCAACGCCGCGUGCGGGAUGACGGCCUUCGGGUUGUAAACCGCUUUCGCCUGUGACGAAGCGUGAGUGACGGUAAUGGGUAAAGAAGCACCGGCUAACUACGUGCCAGCAGCCGCGGUGAUACGUAGGGUGCGAGCGUUGUCCGGAUUUAUUGGGCGUAAAGGGCUCGUAGGUGGUUGAUCGCGUCGGAAGUGUAAUCUUGGGGCUUAACCCUGAGCGUGCUUUCGAUACGGGUUGACUUGAGGAAGGUAGGGGAGAAUGGAAUUCCUGGUGGAGCGGUGGAAUGCGCAGAUAUCAGGAGGAACACCAGUGGCGAAGGCGGUUCUCUGGGCCUUUCCUGACGCUGAGGAGCGAAAGCGUGGGGAGCGAACAGGCUUAGAUACCCUGGUAGUCCACGCUGUAAACGGUGGGUACUAGGUGUGGGGUCCAUUCCACGGGUUCCGUGCCGUAGCUAACGCUUUAAGUACCCCGCCUGGGGAGUACGGCCGCAAGGCUAAAACUCAAAGGAAUUGACGGGGCCCCGCACAAGCGGCGGAGCAUGCGGAUUAAUUCGAUGCAACGCGUAGAACCUUACCUGGGUUUGACAUGGAUCGGGAGUGCUCAGAGAUGGGUGUGCCUCUUUUGGGGUCGGUUCACAGGUGGUGCAUGGCUGUCGUCAGCUCGUGUCGUGAGAUGUUGGGUUAAGUCCCGCAACGAGCGCAACCCUUGUUCACUGUUGCCAGCACGUUAUGGUGGGGACUCAGUGGAGACCGCCGGGGUCAACUCGGAGGAAGGUGGGGAUGACGUCAAGUCAUCAUGCCCCUUAUGUCCAGGGCUUCACGCAUGCUACAAUGGCUGGUACAGAGAGUGGCGAGCCUGUGAGGGUGAGCGAAUCUCGGAAAGCCGGUCUCAGUUCGGAUUGGGGUCUGCAACUCGACCUCAUGAAGUCGGAGUCGCUAGUAAUCGCAGAUCAGCAACGCUGCGGUGAAUACGUUCCCGGGGCUUGUACACACCGCCCGUCAAGUCAUGAAAGUUGGUAACACCCGAAGCCGGUGGCCUAACCGUUGUGGGGGAGCCGUCGAAGGUGGGACUGGUGAUUAGGACUAAGUCGU
rnacentral:rRNA from 1 species